UAUGUGCACCAGUGCUCAGUGUGUAAUGAGUAUGCUCACUAGCAACAGAAGGAGACCAUGAUGUUACACCCACUCCCUGCACAUCCCUGGCAACUGGUGAGUAUGGACCUGUUCAGCCACGCAUGGCAGGAUUUCCUGCUCAUGGUGGAUCACUAGACUUCUGGGAGAUCGAUCUACUUCCAGACUUCCAGACCUGUCAGCAGAAACAGCCAUCAAAAGGUGCAAGGCGCAGUUUGCACAGUACAGCAUCCCUGACCAGGUCAUUUGUGGAGGUCAGUUUGACUGGGAGAGUUUCGGGUUCUUGUGAGGGAGUGGGGCUUCGAGCAUGUCAUGUUCUCCCCAAGACACCCAAAAGCUAACGGCAAGCCUUUUCUACACUGGAGGAACACGCCCACUGAGGGCAUGUGCUGCAGCCCAGCACAACAACUGAUACUACUAUUUUGUGGUUAUUGUUCUACAGUGGUUCUGGUUGAUUGACUUGUUGUCUCUUCUUGUCAGUGACAUACGCAACAGUAAGCAAAAUGAAAAGUUUUAACUUUGGUAAUUUGGUUGCAGAGGACUUUAUCUAUUUCAUCAACAGACACUGUCAACUUUACUGUUUUCAGUGUCACCACUCAGCAUUGUUUUCAGUUGCAGCACACAGUUGUCACACUAUACACUACUCCCACCAACAGCAGACAGUUCAGUUUUCAACUAGCUGUUGAACAUAGUGGAUCAUUAUCAGCUAAAGAGCUAGACAUUUCCCUCCGGAGGUAAUUGUUUUCAAACCACUUAUAUUCAUCAGAUGGCCAGAAACAAGAGUCCAAAAUUCUAAUGAUGCCCUUUGUCUGCUGGAUGUGUGCUUUGGCGACUGAUAUCCUGCAGACAAGGGCAUGAUUGUGUGUGUCAUGGUAACGUAGUUUCAGGUUCAACAACAUGCCAUACAUCGUGGGUGUGGAUGUGUGAGAGACUGUGAGAAAAAUGCAGAAUCAGCUGAUCAGCCACUCUGAAUGUGACAGUUAUGAACAAGAUAGAAAGAUCCAGAUAUGACAAGAUAUAUAAAGUAAGAGUUUAAAAAUGAAUUCCAAUCACAAACAGAUUUGCUUUUUGAGGGGGCUCUUAAAGGUGUAUAAGCAGCCGAUCAACAGAGUAACUGCUAACUGCUUUUAAGUGUAGCUACUUUUAGCAAGUUAGCUCAGUUGGCAGUGCAGCUAGCAGUCCAUACUGCGAGCCUGGAGCACUGAGGGAGUGUAAGUGCUGUUUAUACUGCAAGCACAGGAGCUUUGGACCACCAGGAGGAGAAGGUUCUCGGGUCUGGGUCAGGUAGAACCCAGUGGGGAUUACUGGCAGGGAGCUGCGCCACAACAACAUAUCAAAACUGUUAUUUCCUCAUAUCUCUAAAUAAUUAUUAGAUUUUUAAAACAUUUUUCAGCUAAUAAACUGUAAAGUAAGUUAAACAAAACAAACUGAACUUACUGUUAGUUGGUUAGUGGUUUAACCGGUUCAACCCACCUGGUGACAAUGAUGCAGAAAGCUGUGUGCAGGAAACCUGGAGUGCCACACCUGACAAUCCAGAGACAGACACUGACCAUGUCAGAAGGAAUUCUCUCUGAGAAGUGGGACCAAAUUGGACUAUAAAUGGAGAUACUAUAAUUCUUUCAAGUGUGUUUGGGACUGCUGUGGGUGGCUUGAACGUCAACACCUCAGGACAUGAUUGCAUCUUCUAUGAAAUCAUCUUGAAUGCAGACAAUGCACCAAAAGGACUGACUAAGUAGAUACCACUGGGCCAAAGAGACCAGAUUGAGACUCAGCAAUAAAACUGAGGAGCAGUGACAUUACAGAUUUGACUUGACUGUACAAAAGUUGAAAGAUGACGAUGAUCACAGCUACUGCCAGUAUUGUAGUGAAGACCACCUCAGUGAUAACAAUGGGACACAUUUAUUGUCACAGAUGAGCAAUGACACUUUUCAGCCCACUACACCUGUACUCAACAGCUGGGGUUUUCCUUCUGUGAUUAAUGUAGGGAUCACACGCAACCAGGAUCUUGUUCAAGCAAUGGAGUCUUUGCAUUUAUGUUUUUCUGUGGAAGAAACUAACAAGGAGAUUUAACAAAACAUGGCGUGGUCAUCCUUAUUACAAAGCCAUAUACUUCCAAUGACUUUGAAACAAGAGAACAGGAUCCAUUGUGCAAGAGAUACAACCAAACAUCCCAGGUUCAAGUCAUACCUCAAGAGGAUCUAUCGCCUCCAGUCCAGUGCGAGACCAACUGUACUGGUUUGAAUGGAGUCACAGUAUAUGGUGAUAAACAAUAUGACAUAUCUUCUAUUUCUGAAGGAAAUUACCAAUUUCCAGGAAUGAUACCUCAGCAGGAGGAAAACCUAGUGCUUCCGCCACAAGGAUCCUUAAUGCCUGGUGGGCUAAGUCAGCUGAGUCCUUAUCCAGUCCGUCUGAAUGAAACUGCAAAUAGAGUGAUUGUUCCCAGGUCCAGAGAGGAUGGUCCAUGGGUUUUGAUGAUGCUUACCAGUGUGAUACCCCGGCUGUUUAAUUUAAUCACCUAUUUGUAUUACAAGUCAUGAGUGUAUCCUGCAUUUUCAAAAGGCCAUUAAUUUAAUUAAAAAAAAAAUCAUAAUUUC